UACUUGAAAAUCUAUGGCAAGACCUGAAAAUGGUUGUCUAGGAAUGAUCAACAACCAAUUUGACAGAACUUAAAGCAUUUUGAAAAGAAUACUGGGCAAAUGUUGCACAAUCCAGGUGUAGAAAGCUCCUAUAGAUUUAACAGAAAUAGUCACAGCUUUAAUCGCUGCCAAAGGUGCUUCUACAAAGUAUUGACUUAGGGGUGUGAAUACUUAUGUAUAUUCUAUAUUAUAUUUAAUUUUCAAUACAUUUGCAAACAUUUCUAAAAAUAUGUUUUAACUUUGUUGUUAUGGGGUAUUUUGUGUAGUUGAGUGAGAGAGAAAAUAUAUUUACCACAUUUUAAAUUCAGUCUGCAACUCAACAAAAUGUGUAAAAAGUCUAGGGGUGUGAAUACUUUCUGAAGGCACUGUAUGUUAAGAUAAAUGCUCUAAUUGUAAGUCUGAUAAAUGACUCAAAUGGAAAUGUAAUAGAAAUUCAUGGUAAAUAAUAAUAGAAUACGAUAAAGCUACCUGAGUUAAAGAGUUACAACGGUUAACAGAAUCAUCUUAAAUUGGAUUAUCUUAAAUUUGUUUGUCUUUAUUAAAAUUGCAUGGCAUGCACAAGUCA